GGUUCCAUAGUUCAAGGGAUAGAACAAGAGUUUCCUAAACUCUAGAUUCCAGUUCGAGUCUGGGUGGGACUA
rnacentral:tRNA from 1 species